GGGCCUACGGGGCGCAGCAGUAGGGAAUCUUCCACAAUGGACGAAAGUCUGAUGGAGCAACGCCGCGUGAGUGAAGAAGGGUUUCGGCUCGUAAAGCUCUGUUGGUAGGGAAGAAAGAUAGAGGUAGUAACUGGCCUUUAUUUGACGGUAAUUACUUAGAAAGUCACGGCUAACUACGUGCCAGCAGUCGCGGUAAUACGUAAGUGGCAAGCGUUGUCCGGGUUUAUUGGGCGUAAAAC
rnacentral:rRNA from 1 species